GUUUGAUCAUGGCUCAGAUUGAACGCUGGCGGAAUGCUUUACACAUGCAAGUCGAACGGCAGCACGAGAGCUUGCUCUUGGUGGCGAGUGGCGAACGGGUGAGUAAUAUAUCGGAACGUAUCCAAUAAUGGGGGAUAACUAAUCGAAAGGUUGGCUAAUACCGCAUACGCCCUACGGGGGAAAGCAGGGGAUCUUCGGACCUUGCGUUAAUGGAGCGGCUGAUAUCUGAUUAGCUAGUAGGUGAGGUAAAGGCUCACCUAGGCUUCGAUCAGUAGCUGGUCUGAGAGGACGACCAGCCACACUGGAACUGAGACACGGUCCAGACUCCUACGGGAGGCAGCAGUGGGGAAUUUUGGACAAUGGGGGCAACCCUGAUCCAGCCAUUCCGCGUGAGUGAAGAAGGCCUUCGGGUUGUAAAGCUCUUUCGCAAGGGAAGAAACGUUACGAGCGAAUAACUCGUGAUAAUGACGGUACCUUGAUAAGAAGCACCGGCUAACUACGUGCCAGCAGCCGCGGUAAUACGUAGGGUGCGAGCGUUAAUCCGAAUUACUGGGCGUAAAGCGUGCGCAGGCGGUUUUGUAAGUCAGAUGUGAAAUCCCCGAGCUCAACUUGGGAACUGCGUUUGAAACUACAAGGCUAGAGUAUGGUAGAGGGGGGUAGAAUUCCACGUGUAGCAGUGAAAUGCGUAGAGAUGUGGAGGAAUACCAAUGGCGAAGGCAGCCCCCUGGACUAAUACUGACGCUCAUGCACGAAAGCGUGGGGAGCAAACAGGAUUAGAUACCCUGGUAGUCCACGCCCUAAACGAUGUCUACUAGUUGUUGGGAGAGUAAAAUCUCUUAGUAACGCAGCUAACGCGUGAAGUAGACCGCCUGGGGAGUACGGUCGCAAGAUUAAAACUCAAAGGAAUUGACGGGGGCCCGCACAAGCGGUGGAUUAUGUGGAUUAAUUCGAUGCAACGCGAAAAACCUUACCUGGCCUUGACAUGUACCGAAUUUAGCAGAGAUGCUUUAGUGCUCGAAAGAGAACGGUAACACAGGUGCUGCAUGGCUGUCGUCAGCUCGUGUCGUGAGAUGUUGGGUUAAGUCCCGCAACGAGCGCAACCCUUGUCAUUAGUUGCUACAUUUAGUUGGGCACUCUAAUGAGACUGCCGGUGACAAACCGGAGGAAGGUGGGGAUGACGUCAAGUCCUCAUGGCCCUUAUAGGUGGGGCUACACACGUCAUACAAUGGCUGGUACAAAGGGUUGCCAACCCGCGAGGGGGAGCUAAUCCCAUAAAACCAGUCGUAGUCCGGAUCGCAGUCUGCAACUCGACUGCGUGAAGUCGGAAUCGCUAGUAAUCGUGGAUCAGAAUGUCACGGUGAAUACGUUCCCGGGUCUUGUACACACCGCCCGUCACACCAUGGGAGCGGGUUCUGCCAGAAGUAGUUAGCCUAACCGCAAGGAGGGCGAUUACCACGGCAGGGUUCGUGACUGGGGUGAAGUCGUAACAAGGUAACCGUA
rnacentral:rRNA from 1 species